rnacentral:rRNA from 1 species
UACGUAGGGGGCUAGCGUUGUCCGGAAUCAUUGGGCGUAAAGCGCGUGUAGGCGGCUGCUUAAGUCGGGUGUGAAAGCCCGGGGCUCAACCCCGGGAUGCCGCCCGAGACUGGGCGGCUUGAGGUCGGAAGAGGGGAGUGGAAUUCCAGGUGUAGCGGUGAAAUGCGUAGAGAUCUGGAGGAACACCCGUGGCGAAGGCGGCUCCCUGGUCCGAUUCUGACGCUGAGACGCGAAAGCGCGGGGAGCGAACGGG